CUUAAUAAUCAUACAAAAACAUUUUGGGGGAAAACAAGAGCGACUAUGGGAGAUUUUCAGAUAAUUUUCAUUAGGAACCUUUCUCUUACUAAGUAAUUCAUUUUCUGAUUUAGUACUUUGAUUUGUUGGCCUUCGAUUCAGUAAUUGUGGUCCUAGAGGAUGGCUUGGGUUCAUCCAAAGGGUUUGGUUGAUUAAAGAGUGUUGAUUAUUGCUAAUAGGGCAGAAAUGUACUGUGGAAGCAAGUAUUAUCCUAUGACUAACUAUGACGGACUAGUUCAUGAUUGUAAACCUUUUAAUAUUCUUAUUGAGGUGAAUUGACGGUAUGCCAUAAGGAUUAAGUAAACUAUACAUAAUGCAUGUUCAGGAAAUAAAUUAAAGGAAUAAAUGUGAAUGAUAUUUUAUUGUGAAUCUCA